rnacentral:rRNA from 1 species
UACGGGGGGAGCAAGCGUUGUUCGGAUUUACUGGGCGUAAAGGGCGCGUAGGCGGUCGUGACAAGUCACUUGUGAAAUCUCCGGGCUUAACUCGGAACGGUCAAGUGAUACUGUCGGACUAGAGUACAGAAGGGGCAACUGGAAUUCUCGGUGUAGCGGUGAAAUGCGUAGAUAUCGAGAGGAACACCUGCGGCGAAGGCGGUUGCUGGGCUGAUACUGACGCUGAGGCGCGAAAGCCAGGGGAGCGAACGGG